AACUCUCUCUCUCACUCGAGACAGUCUCCUUUUCCCCUUUAAAGGAAAAUUCUAGAUAUCUUAGACUCUCCCCAAAGCUCGUAGGUACAAAUAGCUCAUUAUGCACUUCCCUGACUUGUCCCAACAGUCUCUCUACUCUUUGUCAUCACUCUCCCACUCAAAAAACCCAUUUAUCCCUCUACUUAUAUGGUUCCCAGCACACUACUACCUAAUUUCCCUUGAAUUUCAACAUAAUUACCAUGGCAGCUCCUAUUUCAUAACCCAUAUGUUACCUCAUCCUUAGUCUACCUAGCCACCUCUUUCAGCCACUCCUUUAUAGGUUAAAGCACCCUCUCAACACAAUAACCAUCUGUUACAUAUCCUUAGCAUUUGCAGUUCCAUCUUUCACAUUCUAGUUUACCUAUUUGAGGGUAAUGUUUCUCACUCUUUAACCUAUGUUCACCUUAAUAUUUUCCACUCAUAAUCCCUAAGUGCUCAUUUUAUUCUCCUCAAUAAUUCCAUACAAAUCUGCCUCCAAUCUACAUGCCCA
rnacentral:lncRNA from 1 species